rnacentral:rRNA from 1 species
GACGAACGCUGGCGGCGUGCCUAAUACAUGCAAGUAGAACGCUGAAGGAGGAGCUUGCUUCUCUGGAUGAGUUGCGAACGGGUGAGUAACGCGUAGGUAACCUGCCUGGUAGCGGGGGAUAACUAUUGGAAACGAUAGCUAAUACCGCAUAAUAGUAGAUGUUGCAUGACAUUUGCUUAAAAGGUGCAAUUGCAUCACUACCAGAUGGACCUGCGUUGUAUUAGCUAGUUGGUGGGGUAACGGCUCACCAAGGCGACGAUACAUAGCCGACCUGAGAGGGUGAUCGGCCACACUGGGACUGGGACACGGCCCAGACUCCUACGGGGGGCAGCAGGAGGGAAUCUUCGGCAAUGGACGGAAGUCUGAACGAGCAACGCCGCGUGAGUGAAGAAGGUUUUCGGAUCGUAAAGCUCUGUUGUAAGAGAAGAACGAGUGUGAGAGUGGAAAGUGCACACUGUGACGGUAUCUUACCAGAAAGGGACGGCUAACUACGUG